AGCUCCAAUAGCGUAUAUUAAAGUUGUUGCAGUUAAAAAGCUCGUAGUUGGAUUUCUGGGAGGGUGCCGAUGUCCACUUAACGUGUGCGCAGCGGCGCCCUCUCAUCCUUCUGUUAGCGUCUCUUGGCAUUCAUUUGCUGGUGGCGGGCUCAGAUAUUUUACCUUGAGAAAAUUAGAGUGUUUCAGGCAGGCUAGGCCGGAAUACAUUAGCAUGGAAUAAUGGAAUAGGACUACGGUCUCUUUGUUGGUUUGAGGGACUGCAGUAAUGAUUAAUAGGGAUAGUUGGGGGCAUUAGUACUUAACUGUCAGAGGUGGAAUUCUCAGAUUUGUUAAAGACUGACUUAUGCGAAAGCAUUUGCCAAGGAUGUUUUCAUUA
rnacentral:rRNA from 1 species